UAAAAAACGAAUCCCUCGUUCACAGGAUCCGGAUGGACGCAACUUCCGGUCUCCUCUGUCUUUAGGCGAGCGUGCUCAAAAUCCCCCUCGACCCCGGCUGCAUCAGGCGACUCCGCGACCCCACCGCCGGCCUCCGCCCUCCCCGCACCGGCGACCUCCCCCUCCUCUCCCUUCCCUUCCCUUCCCCCAUAUCGAGAAGGGAGGCCAUGGUGCUCCCAACAUGGCUGUAUCUAGACCAAGCCCGUGGGGUUCCAGCUCGACCUCCUCGCAGCGACCACGGCGGCAGGAUCCGCGGAUCCAUGGCCACGGCGGUGCGAGCGCGCAGACGCAGCCUUCAGAAGAGAGGAGGCAUGUCGGCCAUGGCGUUCCCGCCGCAGCCGGGUCACUGGCUCCACCACGAGCUCCUCGCAGUUGUCAGUGACGACGGCGGCUCCGAACCCUAGCGGACGCUCCUGCUCGUCUUCCUCCACACCUCUGCUCGUGCCCGUCUUCCUCGGCGCCAUAUUCAGCACCUACAAGAACGCAGCUUCCUCUCCCGCGACAGGGGAUGGUAACUCCUCAAACCCCCCAUCCUUCCCUUCCACUCUGCUCUGAUGCAACAUUUUCUCUUUUUUUCAUGAUUCACCACUCGUAAUGGACUUGCAAGCAGGAGGGACGUGGGUCAGGCAUCUGAACUUGUCAAAUCUUGGUCUGAAGGGAAUGUUAUCUCCUGAGGUUGGACAGCUUACUAAUAUGCAUUUUCUAUAAGCAUAUUCUAUAGUUCCUCUGGUGACGUUUGUUUCUGAACACUUUGGUUUUGACAUAACAUGUUUCACGCUUUCAACCAUAAGAUAGUAUUUGGUAUUUCUGAAACUACCAACUGAAUAAGAGUCAUUUUGCACUUCGAUAUAGGCUAUCAUGUUGAGCACAGUAGUAAAGCUGAAACUUCGUAGUGUGUAUGUUUUCCUGAUGAGGCUUAUGACCUCAGCUUUUGAGCUGUCAAUUAAGGCACAUCAAUCAACUUGGUGUAUGUUCUUUCUUGGAGUGUAGUUGGAUACAAGACAGGUGUUUCUUCUUGGAUCUACGGGACUUUUGAGAAUACAAUUUUGCAUGGAUCAAAUUCAAAUACCACCCAGUGCUUUAUGUAGUUUUCCUAUUGUUAAUACCAUAGUAAAUCUAUCUGUUGAAUUAUGUAUGCCCAUUCAGGCACUCACCAAGAAAGCAUCUUAUGUCUACAGAUAUUAUUUUUUGUAUCUUAUGUACUUGUGAAAUGAUGUUCGCCCUUCAAAAUUUUCUGAUCUAUUUUCCUUCCAUCCAUAGUGUACUGCACAGGAACUUGUUCUAUGGUAUUAUCCCUAGAGAGAUGGGAGAUUUACGAGAGCUGAAGGUGUUGGAUCUGGGGUACAAUAACUUCAAUGGACCAAUUCCAUCAGAGCUAAUAAACAUUUUAUCCCUGGAAUUUAUGUGCGUGCGAACUUUGAUACUCCCUCCGUUCGUUUUUAUAAGGCGUUUCAGACAGCUGAGUUUGAACUGUUUAGUACACUGUCUGAAUUUACUAAAACGUCUUAUAUAAGUGAACAGAGGGAGUAUAUGUUUCUUUUUCAUUUCUGUUUAACUUCAAAACUUGACUGACCUUACUAUUUGAAUUGCAGCUUUCUUAAAAGAAACAGACUUUAUGGUGAUUUACCUCUUGAACUAAAUGAGCUCAUCAGUCUGUGUGAGUCUCAGGUUCGCCACGGCAGGACUUUCUCAAAUAGGAUGCCCGCUGCAAGGUUUGUCUAAGUUUUCUUCUACUUGCAUAUCUGAGAGUUAAACUCGUGAUUAUGCAAGGCUUGAGUUAAAUUUUCAAAUCAAAUAGGGAUUUGAGCAAGCUUGAUUUUGGUUAAAAAAUCCCACCCUGUUCCUGCAAUCACAUGUAUGUUAAUGAUAUCUGAAAUAUUUGAGAAUUAUCUGUUUCGACUCAAGAAAUAUCAGACUUCUUUUAGGAACAUUUCCUCCACAAAAUGGUAAAUUAUAUCCGAGUCGGCAUCCCUGAAACCCAGCCCAAAUCCACAUAUAACCUCACUCCGGAUGAACCCUAGACCCAAAUCUCUUGACAAUGCCAUGUUGAAAGAUAGGCUUGCUAAGAUUCGGCUCAAGAAUUCCUGAGGGUACUUCUGUCUUUAUCAUAUUUGUUCUCACACCUUGGGCGUUGUGUUUUCCCGCCGCAACGCACGCGUCGACCCGCAGUCCUCAUGUUAAGUGAACCAGAAGCGGUACAUGCGAGAGAAAAGAAAAACACACCCAACCACCUGCACGACCCUUCCUCUCGAUCCCAUCUGGACCUUUAGUAUUCUCGGGAUAUAUCUGAUUAUGAUGAUGUUCCGUACUGCUCUGGAGCCGACAACUUUUUGGACUGCUCGAUGUUUAUAACCAAUGAGACUACUUUUUUGGUUGUUGGCUGGAGGCUGGAGCUAUCACUGUGACUGAAAUUUUCUUUUCACCAAAGUAAUAUUAUAUGGUCAUCAAAAACCAAUGACAGGUCAACACUUGUCAGCAGUUUGCAAUUUGUAUUACAGUAUGCGUAAGCCAAUGGUCAGACAUUGUUGUUUUAGUUAGGAAAUGUAGAAAACGUGUUCAUGAUUUAUGUAGAUUGGAUAGUCCCUUCAAACUGCAGUAUUCGAUCUUGAGCGGACAAUCUAACUAUAUGUUUCCUUAUAGAAAAUUGACUAUAUGUUCCAUGAAUUGACUGAUUAGUUUGGCACGAUCAGAUUAAACUAGGUCUUGAUUUGAAGGUCCAGUUAGGGCAGCUGGUGCUGGUUUGUUUAUUGUAAUACUAACUAUGCCAUUUAGACAGAGACAUGUGGUCUUUCUCAUUCCUCGACAUUUCCUUUGCUACCAAGAUUUUUCAUUCUAGGUUGUGGAAAAACGGAUGUAGCAUUCCUUCUACAAGUUGUCAUGAGCUGGGACAUAGAAGAAGAGAGCCGACAUAGAAGAAGAGAGCCGACGAGAAGUUGCACAGCGGUUCGCUCCGGUGUCGCUGCCAAUGGCGUUGCGCAAAGUGCAGAUUGCAGGCUAGAUGCGUACGAGUCCAUCCCUACGUCCAUGAUGUUGAAGCAUAGGAAAUCAAGUCAAUUAGAUAGUAUAUCUGGUUCUGAAAGUUGUCUUUUGUGUAGUAUAUCUGGUUAUGAAAGUUGUCUUUUGUGUACGCAGUUUUGCCAUUAUUUUGUAAAAGCUUUGAGUUUUUGAUAAUAUAAUUGUCUUACUAAUAACACUUUUAAUCAAUUCAUACCAAGGCUAAUAGCCAAGUUAUGCACAAA